rnacentral:rRNA from 1 species
CAAUGGGCGCAAGCCUGAUGCAGCCAUGCCGCGUGUGUGAAGAAGGUCUUCGGNUUGUAAAGCACUUUCAGCNGGGAGGAAGGGNANUNAGUUAAUACCUUUACGCUAUUGACGUUACCCNCAGAAGAAGCACCGGCUAACUCCGUGCCAGCAGCCGCGGUAAUACGGAGGGUGCAAGCGUUAAUCGGAAUUACUGGGCGUAAAGCGCGCGUAGCCGGUUCGUUAAGUCNGAUGUGAAAUCCCCGGGCUCAACCUGGGAACUGCAUUUGAAACUGGCAAGCUAGAGUCUGGUAGAGGGGGGUGGAAUUCCNGGUGUAGCGGUGAAAUGCGUAGAUAUUNGGAGGAACACCNGUGGCGAAGGCGACCCCCUGGA